AUGUUCCUGAAAUGUCCGGUUGUACCUAUUUAUUUUGAACCUACAGUAGACAUACGGGAGCCCGACGUUUUUAUUUGUAGCACAGGCCUCAAGAUAAUACCGACAUCGGCGGACAGACCGGUGCAACGGCGGAGGAAGUGCGAAGAAUAAAUCAGGGCACCCACCUGGCGAUUGGCUAGGUGUCAAAAUAUAGGGAAACGGCAUUUUGGGGCAUGA
rnacentral:other from 1 species